UCCUGUUAGUGGUGUUCUGUUCAACACUGU
rnacentral:piRNA from 1 species